CCUACUGAUUCAGUGGCAGCUGGAGAUAUUUGCGCUGUAUGUGGCAUAGACAACAUUCAGAUAGGGGAGACUAUUGCUGAUAAAGUACAUGGGAAGCCUCUACCUACAA